rnacentral:rRNA from 1 species
CCUACGGGAGGCAGCAGUGAGGAAUAUUGGUCAAUGGACGAGAGUCUGAACCAGCCAAGUAGCGUGAAGGAUGACUGCCCUAUGGGUUGUAAACUUCUUUUAUAUGGGAAUAAAAUGUUCCACGUGUGGGAUUUUGUAUGUACCAUAUGAAUAAGGAACGGCUAACUCCGGGCCAGCAGCCGCGGUAAUACGGAGGAUCUGAGCGUUAUCCGGAUUUAUUGGGUUUACAGGGCGCGUAGGUGGAUUGUUAAGUCAGUUGUGAAAGUUUGCGGCUCAACCGUAAAAUUGCAGUUGAAACUGGCAGUCUUGAGUACAGUAGAGGUGGGCGGAAUUCGUGGUGUAGCGGUGAAAUGCUUAGAUAUCACGAGGAACUCCGAUUGCGAAGGCAGCUCGCUGGACUGCAACUGACACUGAGGCUCGAAAGUGUGGGUAUCAAACAGGAUUAGAUACCCUUGUAGUC